AUGACCAAGCGGGGCGGUUCGCCACUAUCGUUGCCUCCUCCACCGGCGCGCACCGUGCCUCCAGCGCCAGCGGUCGAUCGCCGCGGCAUGGACGCAGCCCGCGCAGACACCUCCAAGCUCAAGACACUCCGAGACUACCGACGCGCCCGGGGUCUGUGUUUCAAGUGCGGCGAGAGGUGGGGGCACGGCCAUGUGUGCCCCACUACUGUCCAACUACACGCCGUCGAAGAGCUACUGGACAUCUUCGGCCUCGACAGUGUCGUGGACACACAGCUGGGUCCUGAUGAAACAGCGCAUGACACAACCAUGGCAAUCUCAGUUUCGACUGUUACAGGAGGGGUUUCUGCUAAAGCCUUUCAGCUCAGAGCGUGGCUGCAGGGGCACGAGGUCCUCAUGCUGGUCGAUUCCGGCAAUUCUAAUUCUUUUGUCAAUGAGCAUCUCGCAAGGCAGCUCUCAGGGAUUCAACCUCUCUCCAAAUCCAGCCGCGUCAGAGUUGCGGAUGGGGGUGAAUUGUUCUGCAAGGAGGUUGCCACACAAUGCGCGUGGUAUGCACAGGGGCAUGAGUUCUAUACGGAUUUGAAGGUGUUGGCCCUGGGCACAUACGAUGUCAUUCUGGGCAUGGACUGGCUGGAAGAGCACAACCCAAUGCAAGUUGACUGGCGCGCUCGUUUCAUUGAAAUACCAACAUCAGCAGGUCCGUUGCAUCUCGUGGGGCACGACGCAGCGUCGACCAGUUGCCAGUCCAUCAACAGCUUGCAGCUGCAAAACCUGUGCAGCAAGGGAUCUGUCUCACAUAUCAUACAUCUUUGUGUGGUAGCACCUCAGCCUGAGAUCUUGGAACAGACACCCGAUUGCAUUCAGGAAAUAUUGGAUCAAUUUCUGGACGUAUUUGAAGAACCAAAGGGGCUCCCACCAAGGAGGGCGUGUGACCAUCAUAUUCCGCUCAUUCCAGGAGCACGGCCAGUUAAUGUCAGGCAGUAUCGAUAG
rnacentral:rRNA from 1 species